GAUGAGCGCUGGCGGCGUGCCUAAUACAUGCAAGUCGAGCGAACGGACGAGAAGCUUGCUUCUCUGAUGUUAGCGGCGGACGGGUGAGUAACACGUGGAUAACCUACCUAUAAGACUGGGAUAACUUCGGGAAACCGGAGCUAAUACCGGAUAAUAUUUUGAACCGCAUGGUUCAAAAGUGAAAGACGGUCUUGCUGUCACUUAUAGAUGGAUCCGCGCUGCAUAGCUAGUUGGUAAGGUAACGGCUUACCAAGGCAACGAUGCAUAGCCGACCUGAGAGGGUGAUCGGCCACACUGGAACUGAGACACGGUCCAGACUCCUACGGGAGGCAGCAGUAGGGAAUCUUCCGCAAUGGGCGAAAGCCUGACGGAGCAACGCCGCGUGAGUGAUGAAGGUCUUCGGAUCGUAAAACUCUGUUAUUAGGGAAGAACAUAUGUGUAAGUAACUGUGCACAUCUUGACGGUACCUAAUCAGAAAGCCACGGCUAACUACGUG
rnacentral:rRNA from 1 species